AGGGCACCACCAGGAGUGGAGCCUGCGGCUUAAUUUGACUCAACACGGGAAAGCUCACCCGGCCCGGACACUGGAAGGAUUGACAGAUUGCGAGCUCUUUCUUGAUUCAGUGGGUGGUGGUGCAUGGCCGUUCUUAGUUGGUGGAGUGAUUUGUCUGGUUAAUUCCGAUAACGAACGAGACUCUAGCCUACUAAAUAGAUCGUCGGCUUACAAACGCCGGCGAGACUUCUUAGAGGGACAGGCGGUGAUUCAACCGCACGAAACAGAGCAAUAACAGGUCUGUGAUGCCCUUAGAUGUCCGGGGCCGCACGCGCGCUACACUGAAGUGAUCAGCGUGCUUUUUCAACCUACUCUGUCAAGAGUGGGGAACCCAAUGAACCUUCUUCGUGAUUGGGAUAGGGGAUUGUAAUUAUUCCCCUUGAACGAGGAAUUCCCAGUAAGCGCGAGUCAUAAGCUCGCGUUGAUUACGUCCCUGCCCUUUGUACACACCGCCCGUCGCUACUACCGAUUGAAUGUUUU
rnacentral:rRNA from 1 species